UACAGAGGUGGCAAGCGUUGUUCGGAAUUACUGGGCGUAAAGGGCGCGUAGGCGGCCUACUAAGUCAGACGUGAAAUCCCCCGGCUUAACCUGGGAACUGCGUCUGAUACUGGAAGGCUUGAGGAUGGGAGAGGGAUGUAGAAUUCCAGGUGUAGCGGUGAAAUGCGUAGAUAUCUGGAGGAAUACCGGUGGCGAAGGCGGCAUCCUGGACCAUUACUGACGCUGAGGCGCGAAAGCUAGGGGAGCAACGGG
rnacentral:rRNA from 1 species